AUACGUAGGGCGCAAGCGUUGUCCGGAAUUAUUGGGCGUAAAGAGCUCGUAGGCGGUUUGCCGCGUCUGCCGUGAAAGCCCGGGGCUCAACCCCGGGUCUGCGGUGGGUACGGGCAGACUGGAGUGCAGUAGGGGAGACCGGAAUCCCUGGUGUAGCGGUGAAAUGCGCAGAUAUCAGGAGGAACACCGAUGGCGAAGGCAGGUCUCUGGGCUGUAACUGACGCUGAGGAGCGAAAGCAUGGGGAGCGAACAGGAUUAGAUACCCUGGUAGUCCAUGCCGUAAACGUUGGGCACUAGGUGUGGGGGACAUUCCACGUCUUCCGCGCCGCAGCUAACGCAUUAAGUGCCCCGCCUGGGGAGUACGGCCGCAAGGCUAAAACUCAAAGGAAUUGACGGGGGCCCGCACAAGCGGCGGAGCAUGCGGAUUAAUUCGAUGCAACGCGAAGAACCUUACCAAGGCUUGACAUGGGCCGGACCGCCGCAGAGAUGCGGUUUCCCUUUUAGGGCCGGUUCACAGGUGGUGCAUGGUUGUCGUCAGCUCGUGUCGUGAGAUGUUGGGUUAAGUCCCGCAACGAGCGCAACCCUCGUUCCAUGUUGCCAGCGGGUUAUGCCGGGGACUCAUGGGAGACUGCCGGGGUCAACUCGGAGGAAGGUGGGGACGACGUCAAAUCAUCAUGCCCCUUAUGCCUUGGGCUUCACGCAUGCUACAAUGGCCGGUACAAAGGGUUGCGAUACUGUG
rnacentral:rRNA from 1 species